rnacentral:rRNA from 1 species
UGAAUACGAGAUGCUACGGCGUCGAAGCAGUGUAUGUCAGACUUCCAAGAAAAGCUCGCAAUGUCAUAAAUAAAGAAUGCCUGUACCAUAACCGACACAGGUGGGUAGGUAGAGUAUACUAAGGGGCGCGAGAUAACUCUCUCUAAGGAACUCGGCAAAAUAACUCCGUAACUUCGGGAGAAGGAGUGCCUUCUAUUAGAAGGUUGCAAUAACAAGAUCCAAGCAACUGUUUAUCAAAAACACAGGUCUCCGCUAAGUCGUAAGACGAUGUAUGGGGGCUGACGCCUGCCCAGUGCCAGAAGGUUAAAGAAGUUGGUUAGCUUUGGCGAAGCUGAUGACUGAAGCCCUGGUGAACGGCGGCCGUAACGAUAACGGUCCUAAGGUAGCGAAAUUCCUUGUCGGGUAAGUUCCGACCCGCACGAAAGGCGUAAUGAUUUGGAUACUGUCUCGGAGAGGGACUCGGUGAAAUAGACUUGUCUGUGAAGAUGCGGACUACCUGCACCAGGACAGAAAGGCCCUAUGAAGCUUUACUGUAACUUGAAAUUGAAAUUGGACUUUAUUUGCGCAGCAUAGGUGGAAGGCGUUGAGAUUACUCUUGCGGGAGUACUGGAGCCAUCAGUGAGAUACCACUCCUAUAAUGUUAGAUUUCUAACUUUGGAUCAUAUCUGGUCAAAGAACAGUUUCAGGCGGGCAGUUUGACUGGGGCGGUCGCCUCCCAAAUGGUAACGGAGGCGUACAAAGAUUUCCUCUGAACGGGUAGAAAUCGUAUCUAGAGUGUAAAGGCAUAAGGAAGCUUGACUGUGAGACCUACAAGUCGAGCAGGGACGAAAGUCGGUCUUAGUGAUCUGACGGUGCUGAGUGGAAAGGCCGUCACUCAACGGAUAAAAGUUACUCUAGGAUAACAGGCUGAUCUCCCCCAAGAGUUCACAUCGACGGGGAGGUUUGGCACCUCGAUGUCGGCUCAUCGCAUCCUGGGGCGGUAGUACGUCCCAAGGGUUGGGCUGUUCGCCCAUGAAAGCGGUACGCGAGCUGGGUUCAGAACGUCGUGAGACAGUUCGGUCCAUAUCCGGUGUAGGCGUUAGAAUAUUGAGAGGAGCCUUCUUUAGUACGAGAGGACCGAGAAGGACAUACCUCUGGUGUACCAGUUAUCGUGCCAACGGUAAACGCUGGGUAGCUAUGUAUGGAGAGGAUAACCGCUGAAAGCAUCUAAGUGGGAAGCCCACCUCAAGAUGAG